GACGAACGCUGGCGGCGUGCCUAAUACAUGCAAGUCGAACGCAAUCUUUUAACAAUGAGUGCUUGCACUCAGCGUUUUAAGUGCGAGUGGCGAACGGGUGAGUAACACGUGGGCAAUCUGCCCAAAAGUGGGGGAUAACACUUGGAAACAGGUGCUAAUACCGCAUCAACCGGCUGACCGCAUGGUCGGCCGGGCAAAGACGGCGUCAGCUGUCGCUUUUGGAUGAGCCCGCGGCGUAUUAACUAGUUGGUAAGGUAACGGCUUACCAAGGUGAUGAUACGUAGCCGAACUGAGAGGUUGAUCGGCCACAUUGGGACUGAGACACGGCCCAAACUCCUACGGGAGGCAGCAGUAGGGAAUCUUCCGCAAUGGACGAAAGUCUGACGGAGCAACGCCGCGUGAGUGAAGAAGGCCUUCGGGUCGUAAAACUCUGUUGCCGGGGAAGAACAAGUGCCGUUCGAACAGGGCGGCGCCUUGACGGUACCCGGCCAGAAAGCCACGGCUAACUAC
rnacentral:rRNA from 1 species